rnacentral:lncRNA from 1 species
GGAGGUUCUCGAGGCUGGUUACAAAGAGAAAACAAAGAAAAAUCAGAAGUUUCGAAGGGGAAUAGAGUUUUUCGGAUAUGGAGUGGGGUUCUAGGAAUUUUUUAGAAAGCUUGAGGGCGGGAGAUAUUCUGGAAGAGUGAGAAAUCAGAGAAACGAAGAGAAAAUAGGAAGAAGAGUACUAGUAGGGGAAUUUUCAGUUUGUAAAUAGAGAAAGCUUGAGAGUAUUCUUCAAUGGCGUUGACUGUGACCUCAUCUUUCGCCAUUUCUGGCCCGAUUUCCAUAUGCUUCCUCUGAUAACAAAGCUCCUCGGAUUGGAUCAUUUUGGCUUGCGGGAUCGAUCCAAUGCUUUGUUGGUAGCCGAAACUCAGCUUCAUCACAUAUCACCACAAUUUCUUUCACCCCCAGGUUCAUCGUCCAUCACCCUCACGGCAUGAUCUCACCUUCUUGCAUAGAAAAAUGGUUUUCGGGCUUCCCAUCUUCAGGCUUAGGUAUGUUGCUGUGAGCUGUUUUUGGAUAUAUAGUUCAGGGACAUAGGGCUUUAAUUUGUGGAUCUCUAUGCUGCCACCAAGAAGGCUGGGUCAAGAACAUGUGGUGAUGAAGGAAAGUUGGUAAGGUCAGUGUUACUUCAAUCCGUGCCACUAAUAUGGCCUUCUAAUAAAUUGGUUUGUGGGAAAUAAGUUGCAAUAUGGCCAUUAGGUUAAUAUUGGAUGCAUUGCUCAUCUUUUAAUUGUUUUAAUGCCAAAUACCAAGCCAAAAAGAAUAAAUAAGCUAAAGUGGAUCCACGUGUCUUUUUUAUUUAUUAUUCUUCUUGAUUUGAUAUCAAAAAAAUUAACUUCCAUAUUUGUAAUUUUCAAGCUUAAUUUUCCAAAAUACCAUUUCUUAAAUUUAUUUUUUUUAAAACUCCAAUUUAUUUCAAAUUUAAUUUCCAAAAUUCUAAUUCUAAAAUUUAAUUUCCAAAAUACCAUUUCCUAAAUUUAAUUUCCGAAAUUCCGAUUACUUUUAAAUUUAAUUUCCAAAAUUCAAAAUUUUCAAUUUCAGUUCCAAAUUUUCAUUUCUUCCAAAUUUAAUUUCCAAAAUUUCAUUUCCUAAAUUUUUUUUAAAAAAAAACUUCAAUUUCUUUCAAAUUUAAUUUCCGAAAUUCCGAUUCUUUCAAAUUUAAUUUCCAAAAUUCAAAUUCUUCAAUUUAAUUUCCAAAAUUUCAUUUCUUUCAAAUUUAAUUUCCAAAAUUCCAUUUCCUAAAUUUCAUGUUUAAAACUCCAAUUUCUUUCAAAUUUAAUUUUCAAAAUUCAAAUUCUUAAAUUUAAUUUCCAAAAUUUCGUUUCUUUCAAAUUUAGAUUCGAAAAUUCUGAUUUCUUUUAAAUUUAAUAUCCAAAAUUCCAAUUCUUAAAUUUAAUUUUCAAAACUCCGAUUUUCAAGUAAUCUUCGAGACUCCAAUUUUCAAAUAAAUUUAAAAAAUUCAGUUUUCUCUCGAACAGUUUUAAUUCCACUUUGGUUUUCAAAUAAUUUUCUAUCUCUCUUGAUUUUAUAUAAGCAAGAAUGAAUUUUUCAUAAUACAAAAAUAAUGGAAUUUGUGAUAUUAAUUCAUGCAAAGUAAAUCGGGCUUUGGUGGGGGUCCAACAUAUGUGAUUUUAUGAUUAAUUUAAUUUCAUGAUUGAUUUAUUCCACUCUAUGACAUGCAUGCGAUUAUUCUGUGUUUGAUUACUAACAUUUGUUUCCUUUGAAGUAAAUCAGGUCAUCACUCAAGUACGUUCUUUGCCUCUCAUAUUCAUUUGGGUAUUUUGUUGUGAUUUUCAUUCGGUACUCAUUGAUUUAUUUAUCAAUCGUCAUACUUGUUUCAUUUUAUUAAUAGAAACCCGACUUUAGGGACUUAGAGGGGUGCUACGGUUUUUACCGUACCUUCCCGAUAAGUAACCUGACCCCCGAGCCCGAUCCGGUUUUUCACGGACCACCUUUUCCAAAACAAGGAGUCACACUUAGGGUUUUUCUUUCUUAUUUUGUUUACCCUUUAAAAAUAAAACAAAAAUAAGUGGCGACUCCAAGUCAUUUUUCAAACAAUAAAAAUUCAUUUUUCAAAUAAAAUAAAAAUCGAACUCGCCAUCGAGUAGAAAACGCAUGAGCCGAAAUACGGGGUCCACAUAUAUGUUUCUUUAAAUUCAUUUAAUUUAUUUUGCUCUAUUAUAUAAAGAUUAAAGUGCAUUUGGCAAUGGUUAUGAGAAAUGUUUUUAGCAUUUUUAAGACUUAAAAAAUAAAAAAAUUUAAGUAUUAGAAAUGUUAAAAACACUUUUUAGAAUUACUACCAAAUGCACUCUAAAUUUAAUUACACUUUAUUUUCUUUCAUAUCUUUUCAUAAUGAAACUAAACAUGAGAAAAAAAAAAUCAUUUUUCUUAACAGUUUUUUUCUUUAUUUGGUACUUUCCCCCAUAAGAAUAUAUUUUUUUAGAACUUUUAUUCAGUUGGUUUAUGAAAUAUUUUACCUGAAUGAUUGAAUCUGAAAUAUUCUACAGGCCAGAGUAGAUUUUGGAAGGCUAAUGGAGUAACCCUUUAGAUUUGGCUGGGUUGAUCUGCUGCAAAUGCAUUUUGAAAAUCCAAGGCAAUAACCUUCACUAAAUGGUUGCAAGAGGAAAAAACUUAGGGCAAAAGUAGAGCUACUCAAUUGAGAUUAUGAGAUAUGGCCGUCAAUUUGCUUUACAGAAAAAUAAAAGAAAUUUACAUUGUUUUCACUACAAAAGAAAACACGCUUCUCAUAAUCCAAAAUUGCUGGUAUUGGUUUUUUGUGGUCAAUGGUGUUGGAGAUUUGGUAUAUCCUUGAGGCUGGUAUUGUUGAGAUUUUCCUUCUUCCUCAUGAGCAACUCAAGCUACAAGUUAGAUUGAUGAAGGCUUCUUCUCUGCAUGGUACCUGCAUUGUUAUAUAACCAUGGUAGAGCAUGUAGAAUUUUUAGUCUCAAAAACAAUUCAUUAGUUAAAAUAAACAAGAAAGACAUGGU